GACGAACGCUGGCGGCGUGCCUAAUACAUGCAAGUCGAACGCAGUGGGGACGGGUGAGUAACACGUGGGUAACCUCCCAUCAGAGGGGAUAACACUUGGAAACAGGUGCUAAACCGAUACUGAUGGAUGGACCCGCGGUGAAUUAGCUAGUUGGUGAGGUAACGGCGCCCCAAGGCCACGAUGCAUAGACGACCUGGAAGGGUGAGAGGCCAAACUGGAACUGGAACGUGUCCCGGACUCCUACGGGAGGCAGCAGUAGGGAAUCUUCGGCAAUGGACGAAAGUCUGACCGAGCAACGCCGCGUGAGUGAAAAAGGUUUUCGGAUCGUAAAACUCUGUUGUUAGAGAAGCGGUAUCUAACCAGAAAGCCACGGCUAACUACGUGCCAGCAGCCGCGGUAAUAC
rnacentral:rRNA from 1 species